GACGAACGCUGGCGGCGUGCUUAACACAUGCAAGUCGAACGAUGAAGCCUAGCUUGCUAGGUGGAUUAGUGGCGAACGGGUGAGUAAUACGUGAGUAACCUACCUUUAACUCUGGGAUAAGCCCGGGAAACUGGGUCUAUUACCGGAUACGACCAAUCUCCGCAUGGGGUGUUGGUGGAAAGCGUUAUGUAGUGGUUAUAGAUGGGCUCACGGCCUAUCAGCUUGUUGGUGAGGUAACGGCUCACCAAGGCGACGACGGGUAGCCGGCCUGAGAGGGUGACCGGCCAAACUGGGACUGAGACACGGCCCAGACUCCUACGGGAGGCAGCAGUGGGGAAUAUUGCACAAUGGGCGCAAGCCUGAUGCAGCGACGCCGCGUGAGGGAUGACGGCCUUCGGGUUGUAAACCUCUGUUAGCAGGGAAGAAGAGAGAUUGACGGUACCUGCAGAGAAAGCGCCGGCUAACUACGUG
rnacentral:rRNA from 1 species